GGGUCACUAUUGCUAGAUGAUUACAUCGAUAGGUAUAGAAAAUUAUUCCUAUGCUAUUGGCUUAGGUUCAAACUUAUGGGGUCACAUGCAUUAUAAGAUUCAAUCAGAUCUGAUGGCUGAAGAGUCUAAUUGGGUUGUGACUCUAGUGAGGAGUCCUACUGGGACUAGGACUCUGGAGGAGAGUCCCACUAAACUGAGACUCUACUAUUAAUAGAGAAUUAAUUUAUAAUUAAAUUACUAAUUAACUCA
rnacentral:lncRNA from 1 species